rnacentral:rRNA from 1 species
CAGGAUUAGAUACCCUGGUAGUCCACGCCCUAAACGAUGUCAACUAGGUGUUGGGAGGGUUAAACCUUUUAGUACCGUAGCUAACGCGUGAAGUUGACCGCCUGGGGAGUACGGCCGCAAGGUUAAAACUCAAAGGAAUUGACGGGGACCCGCACAAGCGGUGGAUGAUGUGGUUUAAUUCGAUGCAACGCGAAAAACCUUACCUACCCUUGACAUGCCAGGAAUCCUGCAGAGAUGUGGGAGUGCUCGAAAGAGAACCUGGACACAGGUGCUGCAUGGCCGUCGUCAGCUCGUGUCGUGAGAUGUUGGGUUAAGUCCCGCAACGAGCGCAACCCUUGUCAUUAGUUGCUACGAAAGGGCACUCUAAUGAGACUGCCGGUGACAAACCGGAGGAAGGUGGGGAUGACGUCAAGUCCUCAUGGCCCUUAUGGGUAGGGCUUCACACGUCAUACAAUGGUCGGUACAGAGGGUUGCCAACCCGCGAGGGGGAGCCAAUCCCAGAAAGCCGAUCGUAGUCCGGAUCGCAGUCUGCAACUCGACUGCGUGAAGUCGGAAUCGCUAGUAAUCGCGGAUCAGCAUGCCGCGGUGAAUACGUUCCCGGGUCUUGUACACACCGCCCGUCACACCAUGGGAGCGGGUUUCACCAGAAGUAGGUAGUCUAACCGCAAGGAGGGCGCUUACCACGGUGAGAUUCAUGACUGGGGUGAAGUCGUAACAAGGUAGCCGUAUCGGAAGGUGCGGCUG